GAGUGGCUUCCCCUUGGUCACAAACGUGUUUAUCUUUAAGAAAUAUGAGCUUGUCUUCCCUACCCCUUAAAUCCUUCAGGCUUGGCCGUCUUUCUUCUGAGGUUCUAUCUCAGCUGUGCAAGUUGGGGCUUCCUCUCUUAUUUGAUUGUGUCUUUAAUAAAACCCUGGGCUAAAGGCCCAUCUGCUCCGAGUUGGCUUUGGGCCCUGGGUCUUAUUCUGGCCACUCUUGGUGCUCCUGGGACAGGGCAUAGUGUGCUCCUCUCUCAUUCAUGCAUUCAUUCAUCCAUUCGUUCAUUUAAUAUCUGUUGAACUCCUAUGUGCCAAGCACUAGCUAGGUCCUGGGGAUACCAAAAGUGUCAGGCAAAUAGAAACGGGUGCUGAUCCUUAGAGAACACCUUGUCUAACGAAGGGGGCUCUUGGAUGUGGGGAGGUAUGUGAGUGAGCCAUGCAAGCUGGGGAUAAAAGUCAAGAGGCUGUGAGAACUUACAGAUCGGGUUUGAAAUUUUCUGUUUUGUCCUAGAAGCCUCAGGGAACCAUGGAAAGAUUUUAAGCAGCGGAGAGAAAUGGUCACAUUUGGGUUUUUGGAAAAAGACCCUAGCUGCUGUGUGGUUUUUGGGAAAAGACCCCAGCUUCUAACACCAGUUAGAAGGGGGAGGGGAGUGGGGAUCGGUCAGGGAACCCAUCAGGCAAGGCCAGUGUCUAGGAUUGGAGGGGCUUGGGGAGAAGGGGUUGAGAACGUAACCCACGUAGAGGAGGACGGCAGACCGUGGGUGUAGAUUGCAGAGGCAGUUGACCAACACUGAAGGCAGACACUGGAGCGGGGACACAACUGCCAGGCGUGGAGCGUGUUGAGUUGAGGUGCCUUUGAAAGGAGGCGAUAUUCAGGUCAAGAGCUCAGGGGAGAGGUGUGGCCUAUAGAUAGCCAUUGGUGAAUUAUCUGCCAUAUGUAGUUAUUCCAUAGGAAUGGUGGAACUUGCCAGGGAGACAGACUAGAAAAGCGAGGGUGCCUUGGGGUCAGGGAGGUGCAUCUGUCCAAGGAGGUUGAGGAGGAAUGGCCAGAGAAGUGGGAGGGAUGCCAGGGAGUGGUAGGGUCACAAUAGCCUUGAAGGAGUAUCUCUGUGUUUCUCCACGACCGUUUGCCUUAAUCACAAACACAUCUCCUUCAUCCUGCAUGUUAGAUGUAGGGAGCAGGGGGCAAACUAGUCUGGUGCUAAUGCCCUCUGGAAAGGGCAUGUGGGCCCUCAGCCCGGGCAGGAGGGCCACGGAGGAUUCUGGCAAACUCCAUGAGAUUAGGUGGCAACGGCAGGCACAUCAGAGAGUUGGGGACAGGCAUGGAGAAGCUUGUGGCAGUUCAAGGCUGGGUGGGAGAAUUUUCUCUGUCUACAGGUCCAUGGACUGUGAGUUCAGGGACAUUAUAAAGAAAGAGAACAAGGAGACCAAGGGACAGGAGAUGCGGGGUCUCUUUGGAGGUUGUGGGGACUAACAAGCUCGAUUUGGGAGAGGUAGUGAGAGGGAAGAGCAAGGCCAGUUCUGACCACUGGCUUCCAAGAAGGCCAGCUUCCAUGGCCUGUUGGGUCUUGAGAUAGAAGCUAUUUCCCGCCCCUUGUCAUAUGGGCAUGUUUCUUGGAGAAGCAAGGAGUAAGAGUUUGUCAAGGUAAGAGAACAAUCAGAGGGGAGGAGAAGAUCACAUAAGGGAAACCGGUGAGGAUCUGAAAGGGAACAGGCCAGUACUCCAGGAGUGUUGUUCCAAGUGUAUUCAGGCACCGAGAAAAUUUCUAAAGCCCCUCUAGCCUUUUUUAGAGCUGCUCAAAGCAUAUGGGGCAUGCCUAGGGCCCAGAGAAAAGGGGCAGUGGAGAGGCAGGCUGAAAGAAGCAGGGAGGGUCAGCGUGGGCCACAGGUUAAGACGACUUCAGCAGAUAGAGGCAACCAUCAGAUCCUCUCCACUACGCUCUGGGCCAGCAUACCACAGCUAGCACGGACAGGCUCCUUCACCCCUCGCCAAAGCACUGGGUCUGGCUGCCAUCUUGUGUCUGGCUAUUUCAGACCGCCCCCAACUGGAGUCCCUCACAGUAAAGCCUUACCACAGAAAGAGCAGUCCUGCCAAAGUGCAGGCUUAAGUCCAUGGACGGGGAAGAAAGAGUACUUUCAGACCCCCUUUGGAGUGUGGCUUCCUCAUGACUUCCAAGGCAAGACAUACAUUGGGACAAAGAAAUAAGUUUUCAGGGGGAAACAGGAGACUCAGUGUGGGUACCAGAGAUGGCCACCAUGACCCUGAAGGGACAAUUUUGGAGUGGUUCUCCCCAGGAUGGGGGGCAGGGGGCAGGCAAUGCUUGCACUUCCAGCCCUCAAUUUCCCCACUUGUAGAAUGGGGGGUCAUGGAAGAGUCUACCUGAGAGAAUGUUGAGGAUUUUACGAGUUAAUUUUUAUAUAGGAUACUUAGAACAGCCAGACACAUCACAAAUGAUAGUAAAUACUAUCACGAUUUCAUGAGACAUUGUCCAUUUACAUAAAAUUCUUGGACUUUGUGGGCACAUUUCCUACCGAUGUGACUCUACACUGCUCGAAAAGUAGGCAUUCCAGUUUAAUGAUUUAAUAGUAAUGAGGAGAUUUAAUUCCAGAAUUACAUAUUGGGAUCAUUUUGAAGAACUUUUCCACGAAUGCUUAUUAGAGUGGAAAGGAUACAGAGUCAGGUGUCAGAAGACCGCAGAUAUUUGUUCUAGCAUCUUCCAUAUGCUGGACUUCAAUGGCCACUGUGAUAGAAAUGGCAACCCUGCGAGCACCAGUUUCUACAUUUGUAAAAUGAAGAUAAGCCUACCUAUCCAACUGACCACAACAGAGCUGAGCCACCUGUCAGCAGUGUGUGGGCAGACUCCCGACUCCACAAGAAUGGAGGGAACUCAAUGCAUCUCAUGGAAGGAAGACCUCACAUUGCCAAGUUGUCAGUCCUCCCCGAAUGGAUCCCUGCCUUUGACCCAAUUCCGAUGAAAAUUGCAGUGAGAGCUUUGUGCACUUGGAACGGUGUGAAGACAAAGGCGAAGGAGGGCAGCGUGAGGCCUCUAACAUCCUACAGAGCCGGGGCAAUCGAAUGCAGUGUCUCCACAUUCACUCGCCGCUUCUGAAAAUGGUUUUCCUGUUUUCUGAAAUUCAUCUGUGCGCUCUCUACCCCCGCCCCCCACCAACCUGGCCACCCUGUAGAUUAUAAACGAAGGCCCGUAUCCUUCAGUAUAUUGAGUCGGUGAUUUCACUGAAUGAACGUGGCAUUCCAAGUCAGCGAGUAAGUGGAGCGGCCAGUUUUUAGGGAAGGAGAGGCACAGUGAACUAGGAACCACCCCAGAAGGUGAAUCCGGCUGUGGAGACAGAAGCUGCUGGCUGUGGUCAAAGAAGACUUCUUGGGUGAACUGGGGGCACUUGGGAAGACGCCGGAGGACGUGCAGAAAAAAAUAUGUUUACAAAUGUGAGCUCUGAAGAAAGGAGACUUUGGUAGCCAGUGGAGGCCACUGUGUUCCAAGACCUCAGAUGGCCUUCAGUGUGAAGUAAGCCUUAACUGAAGAGCUUCACUUCUGCCCAGCCAGGACACUUUCAGCUUGUCUCUCAGUCUCCGGGGAAGUAAUCUUGUUUAAUGUCCUGUAUUUUUCUCUCACAGCCUCUUGUCCAUUGGGUGACAGGAAAAACACCAACUUGGGUUUUGAGUUAUUUACUUUCUAAGAUCCUAAUUGAACUCCAUCUGGUGCUGUUUAUGGAAGGGAAGAGGCCUCUGAUAAGCACAGCUGGGGAGAAGAUUUCCCAGUGCUGCUGUCCUGUGAUUUUGCUCACUUGCUCCCAGCACAGAGGCCCCUCAGUGAAAGGAAACCCGAAGACAAGAUAUCUGUUCAGAAUUUCAUCAAGUCCUCGGAUUUGGGUGGAGAUAGAUGCAUGACAUGGUAUGGAACUGGAGACCCCAGAAGAUUCUGGAGAGUCUAGAACUCACUGCCUUUAAAGGCCCACCUGUCUUUCCCUUUCAACUCCAUGUCAAUGCUCAUUCAUGGCCCAACUGAAGAAACAAAAGGAAAAUUAAGCUAUUUGUGAUCAGAUUGGGUCUUUAGAUUGGGGAGGGACCAGAGAAGACAUUCCACCCAAUAUCCUAUUUUUCAUAGACUGAUCUAAGGCCUAUUUACCCCCAUGACAUGCUUGUGUGUGAUCAACACUGGCCUGCAGAUAAUGUGUCAGAAAUUAUUGCGAAGGAGAAUAGUUUCUUUCCUUGAUGGCCAGGGAUAUAAGGGGCUAGGAUCAGAACUCUGGGUCUUUAAAAACUAUCCUAUUUUUUUUAAACAUAUGAACUGGAUAAAAGUUAUAAAUAAAUCAAAGUUCUUAUUUUC